UCUCUAAGUCCAACACGCACCAGACACUCCUUUCUCUCACCUGGAGGAGGAUUAAACAAAGACAAUAGAGGGAGGAUCGCGAUGCGGCCGAAGAAGAAAUAUAAUAAGAUAAAGGGGAGACGGUGUGGUUCUGAGGGGGAGAGAAUCUUGAGCGAUUUUGGCAAAGGAAAGCUCGAAUAACCUCUUUUUUUGAUGCAUUAGAGGUAGAUCCCCUUUGUUAUCUCUAGGGAUCAGCAAGAUUGUCUCCUUUGUGAACCUGAUCCUGUGAAUGUAGAAAUUUCUUGAUCCCCUACAGUAAAAGCCAUUCUCCAGUGGGGUGUCAACAUUGGGAUGGACUUUGAAGGAAUUAGAAAAGCUACUUCCAUCCUCCACGCAUUUACAUUCAACUCGGAGAAGAAACGCGUAGGUGUUGCAUUGAAGCUGGAUGGUUUCCUAGCAAGUUCAGUACCACCAUGUUCUACCAGCUUUAGCUUAAGCAAUGGAUGAUUUCCAGAACCCUCGUGUACAGGCACAUGUUGCCUCAGCACUGCUCAAUUGCAGUUAGAAUUGUACCCCGGACAUUUUGACACCAUAUUUGGACGGGUUGGUCAGCAAACUGCUCCUAUACCUAUGCGCAUCGUUACGCCUAUGCUCAACCUCUACUCUGAACCCUAAUUCUCCUCCGAUGGAUCCUCAGGUGACUCAAAUCCAUGAAAUACUUCCCUCACAAGCCCCACCACCUCUAUAAUCUCUUGCACACUUUCUCUCUAGAUCUCUCCAAGUUCCACAUGCAAAUCAAUGGUCGCCAUUUCCAUUCCUUCUACUUCUCUCCUCCUUUUCGCGGCCUUUUCCUCUCUAUAACGAUGCGCAUAGGCAUAGGAGCACCCCAAGGCUACAAUCGCCUCGCGCCGAUUAUCGCUGUUGCUGCGGCAGUCUGCAAACGACUCUAAUUUCACAACUCCAUUUCAGCAGUGCUUCCUUGUUUGACUAAUUCCUCUACGGUA